rnacentral:rRNA from 1 species
AGAAGCGAGCCUGCGAAGGCAAGCGGAUCUCUUAAAGCUGUUCUCAGUUCGGACUGCAGUCUGCAACUCGACUGCACGAAGCUGGAAUCGCUAGUAAUCGCGGAUCAGCACGCCGCGGUGAAUACGUUCCCGGGCCUUGUACACACCGCCCGUCACACCAUGAGAGUCGGGAACACCCGAAGUCCGUAGCCUAACCGCGAAGGGGGACGCGGCCGAAGGUGGGUUCGAUAAUUGGGGUGAAGUCGUAACAAGGUAGC